GGGGCCGACUGGUUUUGACAGCGAGAUCAGUGGUGAUGUAAGCAUGCCGAGCGCUGGGAUACAGCUCGUUAAUCUCAUAACUCACAUUUUUAAAUGGCGAGUCUAACUACGCUUUAGCAGCCUAAUUAACUGAAUUAUAGUAAGUUAAGGCCUAGUCCCGCAAGGCGGGAAAGCUAAAUGUCCCCGGGUAGCCCUUGUUGACGGCGACCCUACCGGGGGCACCAUAAAAGUCAACAUAGCCCAGUUGUUGCUUCGGCAACCGGGCAAACCUAAAGAAGCUAAGCGCGUAAUAGGCGGUUUUUGGUCAGUUUCGCGCCGACAAUCAAUCAGAAACUAAGCAUGUAGAAAGCAUUAGUAUUGCUUGUUUGGACGAGGGUUCGAAUCCCUCCGGCUCCACAA
rnacentral:tmRNA from 1 species